UACAGAGGGGGCAAGCGUUAUUCGGAAUUAUUGGGCGUAAAGGGCGCGUAGGCGGCGAUUCAAGUGACGGGUGAAAUCCCUCGGCUUAACCGAGGAACUGCCUGUCAGACUGGAUUGCUUGAGGCCGGGAGAGGCGAGUGGAAUUCCCAGUGUAGCGGUGAAAUGCGUAGAUAUUGGGAGGAACACCAGUGGCGAAGGCGGGUCUCUGGACAGUUCCUGACGCUGAGGCACGAAGGUCAGGGGAGCAAACGGG
rnacentral:rRNA from 1 species